UGCAAAUAAACGAAACCACAAAAAAAGUAUAUCACCACACAGGAAAACGAAAACAGAAUCCUUCGAAUGCGGCAGGAACUUAAAAAGUUCUUUUUUUUUCAGUGCGUUCUAAUUUAUUUUUUUGGUCGAAAUUCUG
rnacentral:ribozyme from 1 species